UCCUGCUUCAGACCUCCGCCCGCCCAGGCUACGAAAUCAUCACUGCGCUCUUUCAAUAUCCCCCAACAAUCCCUCUCGCCGUCCACGCGCUUCAGACCUCCGCCCGCCCAGGAAAUCAUCACCGCCUCUGCUUCAGACCUCCGCCCGCCCAGGCUACGAAAUCAUCACUGCGCUCUUUCAAUAUCCCCCAACAAUCCCUCUCGCCGUCCACGCGCUUCAGACCUCCGCCCGCCCAGGUUAGGAAAUCAGCCCUUCGCCCGUCCACGCGCUUCAAUAACCUUGACGAAGCUGACUGCUUCACUCAUGGCGG